GAUAAUGUUGGACAGCUGUGGAUUAGUGAGGAAUGUGGGACAAGGUCAGGUCACUGAUAAUGUUGGACAGCUGUGGAUUAGAGAGGAAUGUCAGACAAGGUCAGGUCACUGAUAAUGUUGGACAGCUGUGGAUUAGUGAGGAAUCUGGGACAAGGUCAGGUCAGGUCACUGAUAAUGUUGGACAGCUGUGGAUUAGAGAGGAAUGUCAGACAAGGUCAGGUGACUGAUAAUGUUGGACAGCUGUGGAUUAGUGAGGAAUGUGGGACAAGGUCAGGUCACUGAUAAUGUUGGACAGCUGUGGAUUAGAGAGGAAUGUGGGACAAGGUCAGGUCACUGAUAAUGUUGGACAGCUGUGGAUUAGUGAGGAAUGUGGGACAAGGUCAGGUCACUGAUAAGGUUGGACAGCUGUGGAUUAGAGAGGAAUGUCAGACAAGGUCAGGUCACUGAUAAGGUUGGACAGCUGUGGAUUAGUGAGGAAUGUGGGACAAGGUCAGGUCACUGAUAAUGUUGGACAGCUGUGGAUUAGAGAGGAAUGUCAGACAAGGUCAGGUCACUGAUAAGGUUGGACAGCUGUGGAUUAGUGAGGAAUGUGGGACAAGGUCAGGUCACUGAUAAUGUUGGACAGCUGUGGAUUAGAGAGGAAUGUCAGACAAGGUCAGGUCACUGAUAAGGUUGGACAGCUGUGGAUUAGUGAGGAAUUUGGGACAAGGUCAGGUCAGGUCACUGAUAAUGUUGGACAGCUGUGGAUUAGUGAGGAAUGGGGGAUGAGGUCAGGUCACUGAUAAGGUUCGAUUCCUGUGGAUUAGUGAGAAAUGUGGGACAAGGUCAGGUCACUGAUAAUGUUGGACAGCUGUGGAUUAGGGAGGAAUGUCAGACAAGGUCAGGUCACUGAUAAUGUUGGACAGCUGUGGAUUAGUGAGGAAUGUCAGACAAGGUCAGGUCACUGAUAAGGUUGGACAGCUGUGGAUUAGAGAGGAAUGUGGGACAAGGUCAGGUCACUGAUAAUGUUGGACAGCUGUGGAUUAGUGAGGAAUGUGGGACAAGGUCAGGUCAGGUCACUGAUAAUGUUGGACAGCUGUGGAUUAGAGAGGAAUGUCAGACAAGGUCAGGUCACUGAUAAAGUUGGACAGCUGUGGAUUAGUGAGGAAUCUGGGACAAGGUCAGGUCACUGAUAAUGUUGGACAGCUGUGGAUUAGAGAGGAAUGUCAGACAAGGUCAGGUCACUGAUAAUGUUGGACAGCUGUGGAUUAGUGAGGAAUCUGGGACAAGGUCAGGUCAGGUCACUGAUAAUGUUGGACAGCUGUGGAUUAGAGAGGAAUGUCAGACAAGGUCAGGUCACUGAUAAGGUUGGACAGCUGUGGAUUAGAGAGGAAUGUGGGACAAGGUCAGGUCACUGAUAAGGUUGGACAGCUGUGGAUUAGAGAGGAAUGUCAGACAAGGUCAGGUCACUGAUAAUGUUGGACAGCUGUGGAUUAGAGAGGAAUGUCAGACAAGGUCAGGUCACUGAUAAGGUUGGACAGCUGUGGAUUAGUGAGGAAUGUGGGACAAGGUCAGGUCACUGAUAAGGUUGGACAGCUGUGGAUUAGAGAGGAAUGUCAGACAAGGUCAGGUCACUGAUAAGGUUGGACAGCUGUGGAUUAGUGAGGAAUGUGGGACAAGGUCAGGUCACUGAUAAUGUUGGACAGCUGUGGAUUAGUGAGGAAUGUGGGACAAGGUCAGGUCAGGUCACUGAUAAUGUUGGACAGCUGUGGAUUAGAGAGGAAUGUCAGACAAGGUCAGGUCAGGUCACUGAUAAUGUUGGACAGCUGUGGAUUAGUGAGGAAUCUGGGACAAGGUCAGGUCAGGUCACUGAUAAUGUUGGACAGCUGUGGAUUAGAGAGGAAUGUCAGACAAGGUCAGGUCACUGAUAAUGUUGGACAGCUGUGGAUUAGUGAGGAAUGUGGGACAAGGUCAGGUCACUGAUAAUGUUGGACAGCUGUGGAUUAGAGAGGAAUGUGGGACAAGGUCAGGUCACUGAUAAUGUUGGACAGCUGUGGAUUAGAGAGGAAUGUCAGACAAGGUCAGGUCACUGAUAAGGUUGGACAGCUGUGGAUUAGAGAGGAAUGUGGGACAAGGUCAGGUCACUGAUAAUGUUGGACAGCUGUGGAUUAGUGAGGAAUGUGGGACAAGGUCAGGUCAGGUCACUGAUAAUGUUGGACAGCUGUGGAUUAGAGAGGAAUGUCAGACAAGGUCAGGUCAGGUCACUGAUAAUGUUGGACAGCUGUGGAUUAGUGAGGAAUCUGGGACAAGGUCAGGUCAGGUCACUGAUAAUGUUGGACAGCUGUGGAUUAGAGAGGAAUGUCAGACAAGGUCAGGUCACUGAUAAUGUUGGACAGCUGUGGAUUAGUGAGGAAUGUGGGACAAGGUCAGGUCACUGAUAAUGUUGGACAGCUGUGGAUUAGAGAGGAAUGUGGGACAAGGUCAGGUCACUGAUAAUGUUGGACAGCUGUGGAUUAGAGAGGAAUGUGGGACAAGGUCAGGUCACUGAUAAUGUUGGACAGCUGUGGAUUAGAGAGGAAUGUCAGACAAGGUCAGGUCACUGAUAAGGUUGGACAGCUGUGGAUUAGAGAGGAAUGUGGGACAAGGUCAGGUCAGGUCACUGAUAAUGUUGGACAGCUGUGGAUUAGAGAGGAAUGUGGGACAAGGUCAGGUCACUGAUAAUGUUGGACAGCUGUGGAUUAGUGAGGAAUUUGGGACAAGGUCAGGUCAGGUCACUGAUAAUGUUGGACAGCUGUGGAUUAGAGAGGAAUGUCAGACAAGGUCAGGUCACUGAUAAGGUUGGACAGCUGUGGAUUAGAGAGGAAUGUGGGACAAGGUCAGGUCACUGAUAAUGUUGGACAGCUGUGGAUUAGUGAGGAAUCUGGGACAAGGUCAGGUCAGGUCACUGAUAAUGUUGGACAGCUGUGGAUUAGAGAGGAAUGUCAGACAAGGUCAGGUCACUGAUAAUGUUGGACAGCUGUGGAUUAGUGAGGAAUGUGGGACAAGGUCAGGUCACUGAUAAUGUUGGACAGCUGUGGAUUAGAGAGGAAUGUCAGACAAGGUCAGGUCACUGAUAAGGUUGGACAGCUGUGGAUUAGAGAGGAAUGUGGGACAAGGUCAGGUCAGGUCACUGAUAAUGUUGGACAGCUGUGGAUUAGAGAGGAAUGUGGGACAAGGUCAGGUCACAAUAAAGUUGGACAGCUGUGGAUUAGUGAGGAAUUUGGGACAAGGUCAGGUCAGGUCACUGAUAAUGUUGGACAGCUGUGGAUUAGAGAGGAAUGUCAGACAAGGUCAGGUCACUGAUAAGGUUGGACAGCUGUGGAUUAGAGAGGAAUGUGGGACAAGGUCAGGUCACUGAUAAGGUUGGACAGCUGUGGAUUAGAGAGGAAUGUCAGACAAGGUCAGGUCACUGAUAAUGUUGGACAGCUGUGGAUUAGAGAGGAAUGUCAGACAAGGUCAGGUCACAGAUAAGGUUGGACAGCUGUGGAUUAGUGAGGAAUGUGGGACAAGGUCAGGUCACUGAUAAGGUUGGACAGCUGUGGAUUAGAGAGGAAUGUCAGACAAGGUCAGGUCACUGAUAAGGUUGGACAGCUGUGGAUUAGUGAGGAAUGUGGGACAAGGUCAGGUCACUGAUAAGGUUGGACAGCUGUGGAUUAGAGAGGAAUGUCAGACAAGGUCAGGUCACUGAUAAGGUUGGACAGCUGUGGAUUAGUGAGGAAUUUGGGACAAGGUCAGGUCAGGUCACUGAUAAUGUUGGACAGCUGUGGAUUAGUGAGGAAUGGGGGAUGAGGUCAGGUCACUGAUAAGGUUCGAUUCCUGUGGAUUAGUGAGAAAUGUGGGACAAGGUCAGGUCACUGAUAAUGUUGGACAGCUGUGGAUUAGUGAGGAAUGUGGGACAAGGUCA